GAAUCCUACGGGGGGCAGCAGUGGGGGAUAUUGCACAAUGGGGGGAACCCUGAUGCAGCGACGCCGCGUGAAGGAAGAAGUAUCUCGGUAUGUAAACUUCUAUCAGCAGGGAAGAAAAUGACGGUACCUGACUAAGAAGCCCCGGCUAACUACGUGCCAGCAGCCGCGGUAAUACGUAGGGGGCAAGCGUUAUCCGGAUUUACUGGGUGUAAAGGGAGCGUAGGCGGCAGUGCAAGUCAGAAGUGAAAGCCCGGGGCUCAACUCCGGGACUGCAUUGGAAACUGUCAGGCUAGAGUGUCGGAGAG
rnacentral:rRNA from 1 species